rnacentral:rRNA from 1 species
UGAGGAAUCUUCGGCAAUGGGGGCAACCCUGACCGAGCAACGCCGCGUGCGGGAGGACGCCUUUCGGGGUGUAAACCGCUUUUCUAGGGGACGAGCAGGCGCCGGGGUCAUGCCGGGCGCGGGACGGUACCCGAGGAAGAAGCCUCGGCUAACUACGUGCCAGCAGCCGCGGUAAUACGUAGGAGGCGAGCGUUGUCCGGAGUUACUGGGCGUAAAGGGUGCGCAGGCGGCCGAUCGCGGUUUGCGGUGAAAGCUCCCGGCUUACCUGGGAGAGGGCCGUGAAGACGGGUUGGCUUGAGGCUCGGAGAGGGACGUGGAAUUCCGGGUGGAGCGGUGAAAUGCGUAGAGAUCCGGAAGAACACCGACGGCGAAGGCAGCGUCCUGGCCGAGGCCUGACGCUCAGGCACGAAAGCGCGGGGAGCGAACAGGAUUAGAUACCCCCGUAGUCC